AGUGAAUAUAGUUUAUUAAAAAUUU
rnacentral:tRNA from 1 species